rnacentral:rRNA from 1 species
UACGAAGGGUGCAAGCGUUACUCGGAAUUACUGGGCGUAAAGGCGUGCGUAGGUGGUGAGUUAAGUCUGUCGUGAAAGCCCCGGGCUCCAACCUGGGAAUGGGCGAUGGAUACUGGCUCGCUAGAGUGCGGUAGAGGAGAGUGGGAAUUCCCGGUGUAGCAGUGAAAUGCGUAGAGAAUCGGGAGGAACAUCAGUUGCGGAAGGCGGCUCUCUGGACCAGCCACUGACACUGAGGCACGAAAGCGUGGGGAGCAAACAGGG